GAGGGAAAAUUCUAGAAGGUGGCCAGGAAACAGGAGGUAACUUAGUUCUUGUCAGAACUGGCACUUUGGGAUAGGGCCCAGGUGAUGAUUUUCCUUUUGAUUCUUUCCUCCUGAUGCUGCAUCCUCUGAUGAGGUCAUUUAGCAGUCACAGCAGGUCCUUCUGGGCAUGCAAGCUGAGCCAAAUCUGGCUUGGGCUAGUUUAAGGUCUAAUAGAAAGUUACUGGUAUUUGUAGGAUCACGUUGCCAUUGGACCAAAGCAAAAGCUAAGAGGUUUCCUGGACACAUCCAAGCACUUCAAUGGACAGAGAAGUUGAGGCUGGGGCCUGGGGAGCAUAGUAUCUGGGAGAUGUAGGUCAAUUGGCAUAACAAAAUUUAUUAAGAAAAUGGUCUGCAUCCCACUUUGGUGAGUGGCAUCUGGGGCCUUAAAGGCUUGUGAGUGGCCAUCUAAGAUGCAUCAAUUGGUCCCAACUCACUAGGAGCAAAGGAGAAUGAAGAACACCAAAGACACUGACUUCCCCCGCAUAAGUGUUUGUAUUUUGGGCACCCAAUGCUGUUGGCUUUAAGGACUGGGAGACAGCACUUCUUCUUAGACCCCUGUCACAGGUGGUAGGUGGAGAGGGUGGAGUUACCAGGCUUGAGGACGCUGCUUAAUGGAUCCAGUGUCAAAUGUCAAGGACCUGAAACUCCACCAUAGAGCUGAUAUAGUUGAACUUAGACUUAAGUUAUAUACCCUGUUGUACUGUGCUAAUGAGGGUCUAUGCUGUUGAAAUCAGGUCUCUGCAGGGGUGAAAGGCAUUGAAUGUCCUUAGACCCAUUAUGCCUGUGUCUAGGCAAACCCUGGCAAAAUAAACCAAUCACGGAAGGACAAAUAUUGUAUGACCUCGCUUCUAUAAAAGGACAAGAAAAGGCAAAGGUACACAGACCAAAGUUUAUUAGUGGUUGCGAGGGGCGGGGCGGGGGAAAAGGAGUUGUGUUUCAUUAACUCCCCUAUGUUUGUGAUUUGCAACUUACAAGUUAAAGGAAGAAAUUGGAAAGCAACAUGUUAACUAUUAAGAACUUGGCACCAGCCUGCAGGUCUGUUUCCGCCAGGGGGCGGGGCUCCGCCGAGGCCCCCCCCACCUCACGCAUGCGCGCUGUGCUGGCCAAUCAGCGCUGCGCCCGCUCAGGCAAGGCUGGCUUGCUCCGCCCCCUCCGGAAGUGCCUCAGAGGAGCUUUCCGGUGGCCAGCUGCCUCGCUCUGGGAGUGUUGCCGCUACAGCCUUUACCUCAGCAAACAGAAUCUAAUUAUGGCACCCACUGGAAGAAAGGGAACGGGGAGACCUGGGAGACGCGUGGUGAAGGAUCAGGAUAGAGAAGCCUCUGGCACGGAAGAUAAAAAAGAUCUGAGUGGUUCUGAGCCGAACGGGAAGGAGGAAGGAAAGAGUCCAGUAACUGAUAAGGAUGGAAGAAAAAGACCAUCUGCAGGAUCAACUGAGGAAGAGCUAGGGGCCGAAGUAGAGAAUAUGUUCGAAAUACUUGGAGGUGACAUCACCAAGGCUCUUCUUGAAAAGAGAAGAAGGUUAGAAACGAAUACCAAUGCUUCUCUCAAACUCAGUAACCAGAAAGUUGAGAAUGCUUGGAAAACAGAAAAAGAGCAAAGGCAGGAUCGUACUGUGCAAUGCUCUCAGCAGCUUUCGACUUUUUUUCAGCAGUGGGAUACAGAUGUGCAGAAAGCUGAGGAACAAGAACAAAGUCUAACUAAUUUGUUUCGAGAGCAACAAAAGAUUUUUCAACACUAUAGAAUUGUUCAGGGCCAGCGACUGAAAGCAAUUAAAAUGAUGUAUGAGCAAUUUGUGAAGUUCCUGCACAGCGCUUAACACGGUGACGGUACUUCUUACACAGGAGGCAUGAGAUCGCCAUUUGUUGGGUGAAGAGUAAAGAUUGAAAAACAGCCUCGAGGACCUCGAGAAAAGUUAUGACUCUGCGUUUGAUGAAGCACAAAGUGAACUUAAAGAAGAACUAGCUUUGCUGCAAAAAAAACUUUUAAUGGACACA